GGGGAAUUAGCUCAACAGGAAGAGCGCCUGCCUUGCAAGCAGGAGGCAAGGGGUUCGACUCCCCUAUUCUCCA
rnacentral:tRNA from 1 species